GAUGCUAGAUGACGGUGUUAUAAUGGCUCAAAAUCAAACAAUUAGAGAGUGCAAGGUGAUGUUAUCCAAAGUUCAUCGCUCAGUAUGCCGAUUGACAGGGGAGAUUGAGGAUGAGCUCCAGGUAGAAAUUGCGGCUACAUUGCCAAUUUCUAGCAUCGACGCUGCCCAUGAUGUCGAAGAAAAUUUAAAAAAUGCAAAAUAUGUGGAAGCUAUGAAAAUUUAUUUAUUUAAGCUUAAAGGAACGAAAGGAUCCGUUGAUGCUGUUUUCAAAAAACUUUUGACGGACGACCUUCUUAUCGUUUUUAACUACGACGGAAGGAAAAACAAAAAAGCCCUGAAUAAAUUAACGCUGAUAAACGAUUUAUUAUUUGAAGUAUUUAAAUCAGAAGGGCGCCUUAAUUUUGAGAAAAACUUGAGGAAAAGCGUGGAGCUCAGCCAUAACAGAUUUCGGCAAAGGAAGGUGCUGCAAGGAAGCAAGGCCAAUAUUUAAUUAAUUUAAAAGUAAAGACUUUCCAGCGGUGCCGCAAAUAUGUUAUGCAUUCUAUUUCUAAAACUUAUUCUUAAGUAUCCCAGUCUUUAUGUAAAUAUAGAAUGUAUGUAUGUAGAUAUAAGUGCAUAUACAUAUUAUGUAUAGCAUCCCAACAAGCAUUUCUGUAUUUUUAAAAGUAUCUUAAAGCAAGCUUGCUAUAUUAACAGCGUUUUUAGUAUUAAGUUUAUUUUAAGUUUUUCAAAUGAAGCUAUUAUAAGUGUUUGGGGGAAUAUUUAUAAAUCACUAAACCUUAAAACUAAGCUGCAAAUGUUUACGAUAAAAGCCAGAAGAAAUACUUUUAUUUAAUCUAUUAUAAAUUUAUAUUCACGCGCUUAUAAAGAAGGUGCCGUUUCGAUUAUAUUACGCUUUUUUUAUGCGUUUUAAAAACCAAGAAUAAUCGUUUUGUAAAGCAGCAUUUACGUGAGGCGAUUUUGUAAGCGAUUCAAUAUCGCUUAAAGAGUUUAAUCGCUUAGAAAAUCUUACAUUAGGUGAUUGCUGCUUAAGCUUUAUGUUUAUUUUAGUAAACUUGCAAAAAUAAUACUUUUUAGUUUAGUUUGCUUGUUGGGAUAUAAACCCAAAAUUUCAUUUUCAUCCAAUAAUUUAUAACACAAUUCAAUUAUAAGUUUAAAUGUUUAACAAAGCCUUUGAACUUCAAUUAAUUAAACUAUUUAAAUCUAUUUUAAAAUA